rnacentral:rRNA from 1 species
GCAAGUCGAACGGCAACAGGAGAAGUUUACUUCUUGCUGGCGAGUGGCGGACGGGUGAGUAAUGUGUAGGAAUCUGUCCUAAGGUGUGGGACAACUUGGGGAAACCCAAGCUAAUACCACAUAAUUCGGAAACGAUAAAGCGGGGGAUCUUCGGACCUCGCGCCUUAGGUGAGCCUACAUCAGAUUAGCUAGUUGGUAGGGUAAAAGCCUACCAAGGCGACGAUCUGUAGCUGGUCUGAGAGGAUGAUC